GACGCGGACCAGCAUGUGGGAGAGUUGCUAAGCCCACCCCUCACCAGCUACCCCAAGGAUCCAAUGGUGAUUGACCCCCCCCUGAGGACACCACCUUGACCCAGAAAAGCACUGAAAGUGCUAAGGAAGCUGAAGGAGAAGGUCAGAGAGUGAAAACCCUGAACAUUGUUCAACAGCCACCACAUGGAAUGAUGAAGAAGGGUCAGCAGAUCUGAAGAUUUGUCUAAUCCUCUCCACUCAGAAGAAAGGUGGCUAUGAGGUGGGGCCUCAAGAAUAAGGAGAAUAAAGUGGUGGAAGGAAUCACAGGGCUCUGAAAAGGACAUGGAUAAUUCCUCUUUCCCAAAACAGAGAAGACAUCUUCGCCAUUAAUAACCGUUAAAAUUUUAAUUGAGGCAUGGACCUUCGCUGGGAAUUGUGUGGACACCAGUUUUUGCAAAGUGAUAUUUUCUUCUUCAAGCUCUGUGUAAUCCUGAAGAAGUCUUGCCUCUCGGAACUUGUAUUCUCGAAUUUCGUCUUUCAUCCGUAUUCUCUGCAGCUCUGCCAUUUCGUUAUUCUGAAGAAGAGGAAAAAAACCCCAACAUAUUACUAUUUCAUUUACAGCAGCAUGAAAAGUAAACAUGGCCCCAGUGUAUAACAAUGGCAACAAACAAGUAAUCAAAAUGAUGUAACACUACAUGUCAAAACGGCAGCAUCACAAUUAAUAUGUUG